CCAAAGAGACUGGGAUAACACCUGGAAACAGAAUGCUAAUACCGGAUAACAACACUAGACGCAUGUCUAGAGUUUGAAAGAUGGUUCUGCUAUCACUCUUGGAUGGACCUGCGGUGCAUUAGCUAGUUGGUAAGGUAACGGCUUACCAAGGCAAUGAUGCAUAGCCGAGUUGAGAGACUGAUCGGCCACAUUGGGACUGAGACACGGCCCAAACUCCUACGGGAGGCAGCAGUAGGGAAUCUUCCACAAUGGACGAAAGUCUGAUGGAGCAACGCCGCGUGAGUGAAGAAGGGUUUCGGCUCGUAAAGCUCUGUUGGUAGUGAAGAAAGAUAGAGGUAGUAACUGGCCUUUAUUUGACGGUAAUUACUUAGAAAGUCACGGCUAACUACGUGCCAGCAGCCGCGGUAAUACGUAGGUGGCAAGCGUUGUCCGGAUUUAUUGGGCGUAAAGCGAGUGCAGGCGGUUCAAUAAGUCUGAUGUGAAAGCCUUCGGCUCAACCGGAGAAUUGCAUCAGAAACUGUUGAACUUGAGUGCAGAAGAGGAGAGUGGAACUCCAUGUGUAGCGGUGGAAUGCGUAGAUAUAUGGAAGAACACCAGUGGCGAAGGCGGCUCUCUGGUCUGCAACUGACGCUGAGGCUCGAAAGCAUGGGUAGCGAACAGGAUUAGAUACCCUGGUAGUCCAUGCCGUAAACGAUGAGUGCUAAGUGUUGGGAGGUUUCCGCCUCUCAGUGCUGCAGCUAACGCAUUAAGCACUCCGCCUGGGGAGUACGACCGCAAGGUUGAAACUCAAAGGAAUUGACGGGGGCCCGCACAAGCGGUGGAGCAUGUGGUUUAAUUCGAAGCAACGCGAAGAACCUUACCAGGUCUUGACAUCCAGUGCAAACCUAAGAGAUUAGGUGUUCCCUUCGGGGACGCUGAGACAGGUGGUGCAUGGCUGUCGUCAGCUCGUGUCGUGAGAUGUUGGGUUAAGUCCCGCAACGAGCGCAACCCUUGUCAUUAGUUGCCAUCAUUAAGUUGGGCACUCUAAUGAGACUGCCGGUGACAAACCGGAGGAAGGUGGGGACGACGUCAGAUCAUCAUGCCCCUUAUGACCUGGGCUACACACGUGCUACAAUGGACGGUACAACGAGUCGCAAGCUCGCGAGAGUAAGCUAAUCUCUUAAAGCCGUUCUCAGUUCGGACUGUAGGCUGCAACUCGCCUACAUGAAGUCGGAAUCGCUAGUAAUCGCGGAUCAGCACGCCGCGGUGAAUACGUUCCCGGGCCUUGCACUCACCGCCCGUCA
rnacentral:rRNA from 1 species